UACAGAGGGUGCGAGCGUUGCUCGGAAUCACUGGGCGUAAAGGGUGCGUAGGCGGGUCUUUAAGUCAGUGGUGAAAGCCCGGAGCUCAACUCCGGAACUGCCAUUGAAACUGUAAAACUUGAGGAUGAGAGAGGUGAGUGGAAUUCCCAGUGUAGAGGUGAAAUUCGUAGAUAUUCGCAAGAACACCAGUGGCGAAGGCGGCUCACUGGCCCGAUACUGACGCUGAGGCACGAAAGCGUGGGGAGCAAACAGG
rnacentral:rRNA from 1 species